GGUGGCUCAGUGGUAGAGCUCUUGCCUUGCAUGCAUGAGGCCCUGGGUUCGAUUCCUCAGCACCA
rfam:Dipodomys ordii contig_35061, whole genome shotgun sequence.